GAUGAACGCUGGCGGCGUGCCUAAUACAUGCAAGUCGAGCGAAUGGAUUAAGAGCUUGCUCUUAUGAAGUUAGCGGCGGACGGGUGAGUAACACGUGGGUAACCUGCCCAUAAGACUGGGAUAACUCCGGGAAACCGGGGCUAAUACCGGAUAAUAUUUUGAACUGCAUGGCUCAAAAUUGAAAGGCGGCUUCGGCUGUCACUUAUGGAUGGACCCGCGUCGCAUUAGCUAGUUGGUGGGGUAACGGCUCACCAAGGCAACGAUGCGUAGCCGACCUGAGAGGGUGAUCGGCCACACUGGGACUGAGACACGGCCCAGACUCCUACGGGAGGCAGCAGUAGGGAAUCUUCCGCAAUGGACGAAAGUCUGACGGAGCAACGCCGCGUGAGUGAUGAAGGCUUUCGGGUCGUAAAACUCUGUUGUUAGGGAAGAACAAGUGCUAGUUGAAUAAGCUGGCACCUUGACGGUACCUAACCAGAAAGCCACGGCUAACUACGUGCCAGCCGCCGCCGUAA
rnacentral:rRNA from 1 species